GGAUAUUGCACAAUGGGGGAAACCCUGAUGCAGCCAUGCCGCGUGUAUGAAGAAGGCCUUCGGGUUGUAAAGUACUUUCAGUUGUGAGGAAGGCGUUGAAGUUAAUAGCUUCAGCGUUUGACGUUAGCAACAGAAGAAGCACCGGCUAACUCCGUGCCAGCAGCCGCGGUAAUACGGAGGGUGCGAGCGUUAAUCGGAAUUACUGGGCGUAAAGCGCAUGCAGGCGGUCUGUUAAGCAAGAUGUGAAAGCCCGGGGCUCAACCUCGGAACAGCAUUUUGAACUGGCAGACUAGAGUCUUGUAGAGGGGGGUAGAAUUUCAGGUGUAGCGGUGAAAUGCGUAGAGAUCUGAAGGAAUACCGGUGGCGAAGGCGGCCCCCUGGACAAAGACUGACGCUCAGAUGCGAAAGCGUGGGGAGCAAACAGGAUUAGAUACCCUGGUAGUCCACGCCGUAAACGAUGUCUACUUGAAGGUUGUGGCCUUGAGCCGUGGCUUUCGGAGCUAACGCGUUAAGUAGACCGCCUGGGGAGUACGGUCGCAAGAUUAAAACUCAAAUGAAUUGACGGGGCCC
rnacentral:rRNA from 1 species